ACACGUAAGCUAGGCCGGAAAGCAGCCUGUUACAUUGCAAGGACGCAAAAGAUCCGUGCCAGUUGUCACCAUGUCUGGAGUGAAUACGUGCCAGAAGAAAUCCACUGGCGUCCGCUUCGCGGCUGUGCUCUUUGUGGUGGUGUUCGCAGCUUCCCAAGUGAGCAACUCCGUGCUUGCAAACGAAGACGUCCGCGCCGACAAGGUGGUCUGGGCCAACGCCACUGCUCCUCCGGCUAACAGUCGCCGCGCCCAUGAGCCUGUAUCCCAUCUUGCCAACGCCUCUAGUCACAACCUUCACUAUGCCAACCACAGCCAGGCCAACCCCAAUAACUAGACAUAGCUGGAGAAGAAACCAGCCAGAGCUCCCUGAAUAAAGCUACAAAUCUCACGUUACAAA